rnacentral:tRNA from 1 species
AAGACUUUAAGUUAAAUAAACUAAAAACCUUCAAAGUUUUAAAUAGAGAUAUUCUAAGUCUUG